UUGAGUAUAAUUCGUUAUACUCAUCCCUCUCUAUUUAAAAUUUUCAGGUAGAAAUUAGUAUGCUGGACGGCGGUGGAUGGAUGCAUAUUGGACCAAUGGAUCUCCUUCAUGAAGUAGAAAUUAGUAUGCUGGACGGCGGUGGAUGGAUGCAUAUUGGACCAAUGGAUCUCCUUCAUGAAGUACUUUAAUUUUUAGAAACACUAGAAUAUUUAAUAACAGUUGAUUAUUAUUAUUUUUAUAUUUAGACUCAAUUGUGAGUCACGUCAUAACUUUCAAUUAGUCCUAUUUUAUUAUUUGUUAGAACUACUUUUAUUAAUGUUUGAUAAAAGAUAUGAUUCCAAAUUGUUCCGCAUAUGUUAUUUAAUUUAAUUUACCUUUUGUUAAGGUUGUUCAAUUUUUACUGAA